rnacentral:rRNA from 1 species
UACAGAGGUGGCGAGCGUUAUUCGGAAUUAUUGGGCGUAAAGGGCGCGUAGGCGGCCACGCAAGUCAUGUGUGAAAUCCCUCGGCUCAACCGGGGAAGGACGCAUGAAACUGGCAAGCUAGAGUACCAAAGAGGGGGGUGGAAUUCCCGGUGUAGCGGUGAAAUGCGUAGAUAUGUGGAGGAACACCGAUGGCGAAGGCAGCCCCCUGGGCUAACACUGACGCUCAUGCACGAAAGCGUGGGGAGCAAACAGG